rnacentral:lncRNA from 1 species
GUUGUAGGUCAACCCCAGUAUCGCGUUGCCAUACCUCCAAAAUCAUGUCGCUGUCAAGCCUCCCUUGGAGGUCUUGAGAAUUUUGUAUUGCAAAAACGGUUUGAAAUGUCUGCUGGCUCCCAGCAGCAUCAAGCAGCAUCAAGUGUGGCCGACAGUCUGCGAUUUAUAUUGAUUGAAAUUGAAAGUGGAUUACGCUGGUACACGUUCUAAACCGCUCUGGUGACAAACACACUUUUUUCUCUUGUCUCCAUUCGUCCACAUGGCUUCUGGCUGCGCUUUGCUACUACUGAAAAAACAUGAAGAUUGUCCAUUAUUUUAUUUUUGUAAGGACCCAAAAAACUGAGGCAGUGGGAGAACCUAUUCAACACUGUCAGUCAUCAUAAUCAUCAGGAGGUGAAAUGCAAAACUGACCUUGGAUCAUAAACUCUGGGACUACGACAUCUCUAUCUGUAUUUCAAAGUAAAGCAUCUCUUUAAUAAUACUUCCUGUUGACCCAACCAAGUGACCUAUCACCUCUGAUCAUGCUGUGCCCUCUGUGUCAGGAGGUUCAGAAGCAGCAGGGGUUCACCGACACAGCUGAUAUAACCUAGAGGAUUUAGGGAGAAGUCGG